rnacentral:rRNA from 1 species
GGAGUUAGCCGGUGCUUCUUCUGUGAGUGAUGUCCUUCCUGCCGGCUAUUAACCCGCAGGCCUUCUUCCUCACUGAAAGUGCUUUACAACCCGAAGGCCUUCUUCACACACGCGGCAUGGCUGGAUCAGGGUUGCCCCCAUUGUCCAAUAUUCCCCACUGCUGCCUCCCGUAGGAGUCUGGGCCGUGUCUCAGUCCCAGUGUGGCUGAUCAUCCUCUCAGACCAGCUACGGAUAGUCGCCUUGGUGAGCCGUUACCUCACCAACCAGCUAAUCCGACAUAGGCUCAUCCGAUAGCGCGAGGCCCGAAGGUCCCCCGCUUUCCCCCGUAGGGCGUAUGCGGUAUUAGCCUGGGUUUCCCCAGGUUAUCCCCCACUACCGGGCAGAUUCCUAUGCAUUACUCACCCGUCCGCCGCUCGCCACCAGGGAGCAAGCUCCCCGUGCUGCCGCUCGACUUGCAUGUGUUAGGCCUGCCGCCAGCGUUCAAUCUGAGCCAUAAUCAAACUCUGA